GCCUACGGGGCGCAGCAGUGGGGAAUAUUGCCCAAUGGGCGAAAGCCUGAUGCAGCAACGCCGCGUGAAGGAAGAAGGGUUUCUGCUCGUAAACUUCUAUCAACAGGGACGAAAGAAAUGACGGUACCUGAAUAAGAAGCCCCGGCUAACUACGUGCCAGCAGCCGCGGUAAUACGUAGGGGGCAAGCGUUAUCCGGAAUUACUGGGUGUAAAGGGUGAGUAGGCGGCAUGGUAAGCCAGAUGUGAAAGCCUUGGGCUUAACCCGAGGAUUGCAUUUGGAACUAUCAAGCUAGAGUACAGGAGAG
rnacentral:rRNA from 1 species